GGGAGUUUGAGCCUCUUCCAAGCACAUGCUCACAUCAAUGGACAAGUGUGGGACCCUGGCACCAGGGGUGCACAGCUGGCCUGGUCAUGCUGCCCUCCCUUCGCAGUCUGGGGAAGAAAGAGGGUUAUUCUGGAGCGCUUUCAAGGACCUGGGGAAGUCUCCUGCUGUGCUCUGCCUUGGCCUCUGCUUGCUGCAGCAGUGGCGAGGUGCCCGGCCGCGCAGCCGGGGUGAUGCGACUCCAGCAGCGCCCACCUCUGCGCUGUGUGCUCUGCAGAUAUUGCCCUCAGGAGGCCUCAGCACCCUUCUGGGUGCAGCACGUGUGAAUAAGUGACUAAAAAUACCGACGUAUUCAAAAGUGAGAUAAUUUCAGAUGGCAUAUCCAAAUGGUAUUUUGAAAUCUGAAGCCAAUUUUGCUGGAAGAUACAUAUUUGCCAUCAGGAGGGAAAGGACUGAAAUCUGCUGCCUGAACUCCCACAGCACAGGAAAGCAAGAAACACUCUGAAAUCUCUUCUGAAGCAACUUCUGCUUUUCCCCUCUACAGAUGAAACUCCUUAUUUUCCUGUGCCUGUCAUGUGUGAAUGUUGUUAUCAAUGUUUAAGUCACACUUAGCUCCCAAUUUAACUUAAAGAAAAAGAAAGAAAGAAAGAAAGAAACCCUCUUUAAAAUGUUCUUUAAAGACUUUACCAAAUAACUCUCCAUCAUCUGUAUGUGUAAGUGGACAUAUACAGGCAUGGAUGUUCCACAUAAGCAAAGACUUAUGCUAUUCCAUGUAGAUCACUAAGGUGGGCACUGACACACUGCCAUGGACUAGCCACGAUCCUGAGCAGAGACUUGUCCCAAACUGACGCUCCAGAAGAGAACUACUACCUAUGCCUGUGCAGGCAGACACGUUUGCAUUUAUAUCUUGGAUUUUGAGAGUCAUAGAACUGUAGAAUCAUUAUG